rnacentral:lncRNA from 10 species
CUUGCAGUUUGAUCUCAGACUGCUGUGCUAGCAAUCAGGGAGAUUCCGUGGGCGUAGGACCCUCCAAGCCAGGUGUGGGAUAUAGUCUAGUGGUGCGCCGUUUUUUAAGCCUGUCGGAAAAGCGCAGUAUUCUGGUGGGAGUGACCCGAUUUUCCAGGUGCCGUCCGUCACCCCUUUCUUUGACUAGGAAAGGGAACUCCGUGACCCCUUGCGCUUCCUGAGUGAGGCAAUGCCUCGCCCUGCUUCGGCUCUCGCACGGUGCGCGCUCCCACUGACCUGCGCCCACUGUCUGGCACUCCCUAGUGAGAUGAACCCGGUACCUCAGAUGGAAAUGCUGAAAUCACCCGUCUUCUGCGUCGCUCAGGCUGGGAGCUGUAGACCGGAGCUGUUCCUAUUCGGCCAUCUUGUCUCCUCCCCCCAGCCCACAACAGCCUAUGAAGAAUAACUAGAGGUCUUCAUAUCAGAGGCAGAAGGUUUGUUUUUCCUCUCUGUCAUACCUCAAGAGGAACACAAAGAGUGAUGGCCUGUCACUCUGAUGCCUCUCUCUACUCAAAUGGCAGAAACCAACCAGGUGAUGGCCACAGUGGCAGAACCUAGGAAGCCAAGAAGAAACCAGAGAAUGGAGACACAUGGCAGCAAUGGCAAGUCAUCAGACCCAGGAUUUCCCAAAGAACACUGGUCCAGGAAGAUGCUCUGUGAAAAAGUGUUCCCUGGUCGGAGAAAUUUGUGAAACACUUUGCAUAAUACUUAAAAGAAUGUAUGGCACAUCAAAGGUAAUAUGCAAUAAAAGAAUUCAUUUUUUUAAAACCAAGCAUAUGCACAACUUAUUUAACUAUGGAUUCGAUUUUUAGAUUCAUAUUUUUUGACCCACAUUUGUGGAGCCACAUCCAUAGAACAGAUUUGACCAUGCUUAUGGUUAUCAUUAAAAAAUUUUUUUAAAUUCAGAUUGAUUUUGGAAUUGGUUUCCCAUCAUAGUUCAA